CAAAGAACUACACCUCACCUCUCUCUCUCUGAAGCAGCCCGCCUCUGUCAGUCUGAGUCUUCAGAGCAGUUUGUAGGGAGAGGGGAAGACAGCAGCCUGAGGAGGAAUAAGUCAUGCGUCCAUCCAUCUCUUUGACUCUGGAGCCUGGGUUGGAGCGAGGGGUCCCCUGGGGUCGUGACCUCUACACCUUUGUGACUUCAGCAGCAGGUCACAUGAUGAGGACUCUGCAGAAACCCAGAAAGAACCGACCAUCCAAACGGCAGGUCAACCACCGCCGCUUCCUGCACAACAUGAUUCAGAGAAAGUUUGCAGACAUAGAAGCAGCAAAUCACAGACUGGCAUCAGCUUUAAAUGAUAAUGAGAAGGAGAAAAACAUGUUGUCUCUGCCAUCACAAAAGACAGAGACUCCUGACCGGUCAGGUUUCCCCUCUGAUGAUACUUACCUCCAAGAUCACGACAAAUGCAGUCAUCACACAGGAGCAGAUGACAUGAAUAAGUUCAGGAGU